rnacentral:rRNA from 1 species
GGCGAACCUGCCCUCGCACAGGGGACGAACAGCCGGAAACGGACUGCUAAUACCGCAUAAGCGCACAGCUUCGCAUGAAGCGGUGCGAAAAGCUUUGGCGGUGCAGGAUGGGCCCGCGUCUGAUUAGCUUGUUGGCGGGGCAACGGCCCACCAAGGCGACGAUCAGUAGCCGGCCUGAGAGGGUGGACGGCCACAUUGGGACUGAGACACGGCCCAG